AUUGAACGCUGGCGGCAGGCCUAACACAUGCAAGUCGAACGGUAACAGGAAACAGCUUGCUGUUUCGCUGACGAGUGGCGGACGGGUGAGUAAUGUCUGGGAAACUGCCUGAUGGAGGGGGAUAACUACUGGAAACGGUAGCUAAUACCGCAUAACGUCGCAAGACCAAAGAGGGGGACCUUCGGGCCUCUUGCCAUCGGAUUUGCCCAGAUGGGAUUAGCUAGUAGGUGGGGUAACGGCUCACCUAGGCGACGAUCCCUAGCUGGUCUGAGAGGAUGACCAGCCACACUGGAACUGAGACACGGUCCAGACUCCUACGGGAGGCAGCAGUGGGGAAUAUUGCACAAUGGGCGCAAGCCUGAUGCAGCCAUGCCGCGUGUAUGAAGAAGGCCUUCGGGUUGUAAAGUACUUUCAGCGGGGAGGAAGGGAGUAAAGUUAAUACCUUUACUCAUUGACGUUACCCGCAGAAGAAGCACCGGCUAACUCCGUG
rnacentral:rRNA from 1 species